rnacentral:rRNA from 1 species
CGCUUGCGGCUGCUUACCAUGCAAGUCGAGCGGAGUGAUGGUGCUUGCACUAUCACUUAGCGGCGGACGGGUGAGUAAUGCUUAGGAAUCUGCCUAUUAGUGGGGGACAACAUUUCGAAAGGAAUGCUAAUACCGCAUACGUCCUACGGGAGAAAGCAGGGGAUCUUCGGACCUUGCGCUAAUAGAUGAGCCUAAGUCGGAUUAGCUAGUUGGUGGGGUAAAGGCCUACCAAGGCGACGAUCUGUAGCGGGUCUGAGAGGAUGAUCCGCCACACUGGGACUGAGACACGGCCCAGACUCCUACGGGAGGCAGCAGUGGGGAAUAUUGGACAAUGGGCGCAAGCCUGAUCCAGCCAUGCCGCGUGUGUGAAGAAGGCCUUAUGGUUGUAAAGCACUUUAAGCGAGGAGGAGGCUACUGAAGUUAAUACCUUCAGAUAGUGGACGUUACUCGCAAAAUAAGCACCGGCUAACUCUGUGCCAGCAGCCGCGGUAAUACAGAGGGUGCAAGCGUUAAUCGGAUUUACUGGGCGUAAAGCGCGCGUAGGCGGCUAAUUAAAUCAAAUGUGAAAUCCCCGAGCUUAACUUGGGAAUUGCAUUCGAUACUGGUUAGCUAGAGUGUGGGAGAGGAUGGUAGAAUUCCAGGUGUAGCGGUGAAAUGCGUAGAGAUCUGGAGGAAUACCGAUGGCGAAGGCAGCCAUCUGGCCUAACACUGACGCUGAGGUGCGAAAGCAUGGGGAGCAAACAGGAUUAGAUACCCUGGUAGUCCAUGCCGUAAACGAUGUCUACUACCGUUGGGGCCUUUGAGGCUUUAGUGGCGCACUAACGCGAUAAGUAGACCGCCUGGGGAGUACGGUCGCAAGACUAAAACUCAAAUGAAUUGACGGGGGGCCCGCACAAGCGGUGGAGCAUGUGUUUUAAUUCGAUGCAACGCGAAGAACCUUACCUGUCCUGGACAUAGUAAGAACUUUCCAGAGAUGGAUUGGUGGCCUUCGGCACCUUACAUACCUGUGCCUGCAUGCUUGUCGUCAGCCUCCUGCCCUGGAAUGUUUGGGUUAAGUGCCGUCAACAAGCCACACCCCUUCUUCCUUAUUCUGCCACUAUGUA